UUAAAAAACAUUCAAAUAAUAAAAAUUAAAGAAAGGAAAUUGAAAAUCCGAUCGCAUUUAUUUGAAAAAAAAAAAAACUAUUCGUUUCUGCAAAAUUUCUCCAGAUCUGUUUUUCCCCUCGAUUUUCAUUUACCGGUCCAGAAAACAAACCGCAAACCCUAAAUAGACCAAAAGGGAGGGAAAAGAAAAUAUAGAAGAAAAAAACUAUGUUCAGAUUCGAAUUUGAGAAGAUCAGGAAACGAAUUUGAUUUUAUCGAAAAAAGGUGUGUUUUUUUUUUUAAAUUUCUGCUAUGGCCGACGCGCUUUCUGUGAUUCCUGCAUCAGUUCUCCGUAAUCUUUCCGACAAGCUGUACGAGAAACGCAAGAAUGCUGCCCUUGAGGUUGAAGGAAUUGUGAAACAGCUGGCGUUGUCGGGAGAUCACGAGAAGAUAUCGGCGGUGAUCAAAUUGUUGGCCAAGGAAUUUACCUACUCUCCACAAGCCAAUCACCGUAAGGGAGGAUUGAUUGGUUUGGCUGCUGCCACUGUUGGGUUGACUUCCGAAGCCGCGCAACAUCUUGAGCAAAUUGUGCCGCCAGUGCUUAAUUCUCUUUCUGACCAAGACAGCAGAGUACGAUAUUAUGCUUGUGAAGCACUAUAUAACAUUGCAAAGGUUGUCCGAGGAGAUCUCAUCAUAUUCUUUAAUCAAAUAUUUGAUGCAUUAUGCAAGCUAUCGGCUGAUUCUGAUGCCAAUGUACAGAGUGCUGCUCACCUUUUAGAUAGGCUCGUGAAGGACAUUGUUACUGAAAGCGACCAGUUCAGUAUUGAAGAAUUUAUACCAUUACUGAGAGAGCGUAUGAAUGUCCUGAAUCCCUAUGUUCGCCAAUUUUUGGUUGGCUGGAUAACUGUACUGGACAGUGUUCCAGAUAUUGACAUGUUGGGUUUCCUCCCUGAUUUUCUUGAUGGUUUGUUUAAUAUGUUAAGUGAUUCUAGUCCUGAAAUACGGCAACAAGCUGAUUCAGCACUUUCAGAGUUCCUUCAAGAGAUUAAAAACUCCCCAUCUGUAGAUUAUGGUCGCAUGGCUGAAAUACUGGUGCAAAGGGCAGCUUCUCCUGAUGAAUUUACUCGGUUAACAGCAAUCACUUGGAUAAACGAAUUUGUAAAACUUGGUGGAGACCAGCUUGUUCCUUACUAUGCUGACAUACUGGGAGCCAUCCUCCCCUGCAUAUCUGAUAAAGAAGAGAAAAUUAGAGUGGUUGCUCGUGAAACCAAUGAGGAACUUCGUUCAAUCAAGUCUGAUCCAGCGGAGACUUUUGAUGUUGGGGCCAUUCUCUACAUUGCAAGGAGGCAACUGGAUAGUGAGUGGGAGGCCACUAGAAUUGAAGCAUUGCACUGGAUAUCAACCCUUUUAGACAGACACCGUGCUGAGGUCUUGUGUUUUCUAAAUGACAUAUUUGACACCCUUUUGAAAGCUCUAUCUGACUCUUCUGACGAGGUUGUGCUUCUGGUUCUUGAUAUUCAUGCAUGCAUAGCACGAGAUCCCCAACACUUCCGCCAGCUUAUUGUUUUUCUGGUGCAUAAUUUCCGGGUUGAUCAUUCUCUUCUGGAGAGGCGUGGUGCUUUGAUAAUCCGUAGACUUUGUGUUCUUUUGGAUGCUGAACGGGUCUAUCGUGGACUAUCCACCAUACUAGAGGGAGAAGCAGACCUGGAUUUUGCCUGCAUUAUGGUUCAGGCCUUGAAUUUGAUUCUACUCACUUCUUCUGAGCUAUCUGUGCUUCGGGAACUUUUAAAACAGUCACUUGUUAAUGCUGCUGGAAAGGAUUUGUUUGUUUCUUUGUAUGCUUCAUGGUGCCAUUCACCCAUGGCCAUUUUAAGUCUUUGUUUGUUGGCACAGGCAUAUCAGCAUGCAAGUGCCGUGAUUCAGUCCUUGGUUGAGGAAGAUAUUAAUGUCAAGUUCUUGGUUCAGCUUGAUAAAUUGAUUCGCUUGCUCGAAACUCCCAUCUUUGCUUAUCUUAGAUUGCAGCUUCUUGAACCAGGAAGGUAUAUAUGGUUGCUGAAAGCAUUGUAUGGUCUUUUAAUGUUACUUCCACAGCAAAGUGCUGCAUUCAAGAUCUUGCGAACUCGUUUGAAAACUGUGCCAUCGCACUCCUUCAAUGGUGAUCAACUCAAACGAGCAUCAUCAGGCAACCCAUACUCCCAAAUUUUACAUUAUAGUGGAUCCCAAAUCACUGAGGAUGGCAAUGUAAGGCAAGAUAAUGGGAAUUUACAGAACGGAAUCAACUUUGCUUCAAGGCUACAGCAGUUUGUUCAAAUGCAGAGACAACAUCGAAUGCUUGAAAAAUCACAAGAACAAUCACAAGCUAGAAGUAGUUCCACUUUAUCAAAGGAAGGGCCAGAAGCAGAAGAAUCCCGGGGACCUCAAACAUCCGACUCAAACUUGCCUCCUUCAAGAUCAUCCAGAAGAGGCCUGGGGUAAUUGCCAAAUUAAUUGAUGGUGCUUCUGCAACCUACUUAUAGUUCAAGGUCAUUGUACUAUGAUCUCAAGAUGGUUGAGCCACAGAAUAUGUCCAUGAGAAAGACUUGCUUCCACUUGCCCUCUUUAUUCGUCUCUCUGAGUCGCAAGUGUCCCAACCAGAAUUGGUGCUCCAACAAUGGUUAUAGUGACUGCCAUCCAUGAAUUCCCUUUUCCUACAACCACAAAGGCUAUUGACAAAAAUGCUCCACAAGUGCAAGCACAAGCAGCCCACAUUAGCUUGUUAACCACUGAUACAACCUGUUUUUGAGCAUUUGUGUCCCAUGCUACCAAUGUGAUCUGAACAACAACAACAGCCAUUGAUAUGAAAAGGGAUGUGGCAUUCAAGAGGCAGAAAAUGCGGAAACCUACGUGAUCAGCUAUGUAAUACCCAAUUUGCCCGGCCCAAUUUUAUAAAUAAAAACAAAAAAACAAAAUUUAUUAAAAGUUCAUCAGUCCAUAUUACAAGCCCAAAAUCAAUACAGCCCAAUCCUAAUUCGACCCAACGUAGCCCAAAAUAUUCCCCAAACCCCGAAACCCUAGCCUUUAGCAUCACUGCCCUCCAGCCGCAGCAACAGUGGCCUCCUCACACCGCCACGCACGCCACGUUGGCAUUCGUACGCCCCAGCUGGCCCUCGUACGAUCGUACCUGCAGCAAACAACAAGACAACAACAAAAAAGAAGGAGGAAAAAGCAAAAAAUAGCAACAGAAAAGAAAAUAGGAAAAGAUAGCAGAGAAGGAGAUGUAUUUUGUUUUUUAUUUUAUUUUUCUUCUCGAUUUGGCUAUAAAAAGCCGAUUCGAAAUCUGUA